rnacentral:rRNA from 1 species
AAAGAACNCCANCCUUCCCCUAGUAACGGCGAGUGAAGCGGGAAGAGCUCAAAUUUAAAAUCUGGCUUGCUUGCAAGUCCGAGUUGUAGUCUGAAGAAACGUUUUCCAUGAAAGCUGAGGCACAAGUCCUUUGGAACAGGGCAUCAUAGAGGGUGAGAAUCCCGUCCAUGGUCUCAUGCAUUUUAUUUUGUGAUACGUUUUCUAAGAGUCAGGUUGUUUGGGAAUGCAGCCUAAAAUGGGUGGUAAAUUUCAUCUAAAGCUAAAUAUUGGCGAGAGACCGAUAGCGAACAAGUACCGUGAGGGAAAGAUGAAAAGAACUUUGAAAAGAGAGUUAAAAAGUACGUGAAAUUGUUGAAAGGGAACCGUUUGAAGCCAGUCUUGCUUACUUGUGAUCAAUCUUAACUUCGGUUUGGAUGCACUCUCGAGUUAUGCAGGUCAACGUCAGUUUGAGAGGUGGGAAAAAAGUUUGAGGAAUGUGGCCUUCGGGUGUUAUAGCCUCUUACUAAAUACCAUCUCCUGGACUGAGGCUCGCAGCAAAAAUGUGGGUUGGUUUGCUCCUGAGGUGAAUCAUUAUUAAGACAGCUUGCUGACCUUAGUUUUGUGGAUCUUCACGGUAGACCAGCUUCUAAUUUGCUUAGGUCGUUGACAUAAUGGCUUUAAAUGAC